rnacentral:rRNA from 1 species
GAUGAACGCUGGCGGCGUGCCUAAUACAUGCAAGUCGAGCGAACGGACGAUAAUCUUGCUUUUCUGAUGUUAGCGGCGGACGGGUGAGUAACACGUGGAUAACCUACCUAUAAGACUGGGAUAACUUCGGGAAACCGGAGCUAAUACCGGAGAAUAUUUUGAACCGCAUGGUUCAAAAGUGAAAGACGGUCUUGCUGUCACUUAUAGAUGGAUCCGCGCUGCAUUAGAUAGUUGGUAAGGUAACGGCUUACCAAGGCAACGAUGCAUAGCCGACCUGAGAGGGUGAUCGGCGACACUGGAACUGAGACACGGACCAGACUCCUACGGAAGGCAGCAGUAGGGAAUGUUCCGCAGUGGGCGGAAGCCUGACGGAGCAACGCCGCGUGAGUGAUGGCGGUCUUCGGAUCGUAAAACUCUGUUAUUAGGGAAGAACCUAUGUGUAAGUAACUGUGCACAUCUUGACGGUACCUAAUCAGAAAGCCACGGCUAACUACGUG